UAUAUUUUAGUGUAAGAUGCACAUAAAGUUUUGAUCUUUACAGGGAUAGUUUGAUUCUAUCAUUUAUAA
rnacentral:tRNA from 1 species